UGUUGUUCUCAUCGAGUUCAACAGGAUCAUGUCUUGGAACUAGAUACCAAAGUACCUAUUCGAUAGAUACGGUACUCUACCAGAUCUCCUUGAUGGUGCUUUUACAAUGGGUUUUGAGUUUGAUCUAAUCAAAUUUGGUUCUAUGGGUUCAUUAGAUUGUGUCAGUUUUUCUACCGUCGAACUUCAUAAGUUUCACAUUAAAGACAUCAAUACCUUCAUCAAGAUACUUUUUUUUAAAAAAGAAUAUCAAACAAUUUUAUUCUUUAGCAUAAUAGAAGUUAUAUCUCCUAGAUUCUUUGAGGUCAUCCUAUAAAAUAAUAUAUAUAGGACUGAGAUCCAAGCUAAUCGAUCUGCAAAUGCUUGACAUAAAACAAACACUUUCAAACCUUAAAGUAAGAGAAUAUCGGCUUCGCCUAGUCCAUAUCUCAUAUGGAGUCCUUGCGACUGAUUAGUUCAGAAUCUAGUUCAGAACAUGACAAAUAGUCUUAAGAGUAUAACUUUAAAAGGAGACAGGUAGAUUUGCAAAUCUCAUCAUGGAUCGAACUAUGUCUAACAAAGUCAAUUUCAAUAAAAGAGAAUCCUUAUUCUCUUCUAAAUAUGUCAAAAUUUACUUGAAAUACAUUCUCCUCUUUGGUC
rnacentral:lncRNA from 1 species